UGAGGAAUAUUGGUCAAUGGGCGGGAGCCUGAACCAGCCAAGUCGCGUGAGGGAAGACGGUCCUAUGGAUUGUAAACCUCUUUUGUCGGGGAGCAAAGAGGCCACGUGUGGUCAAAAGCGAGAGUACCCGAAGAAAAAGCAUCGGCUAACUCCGUGCCGGCAGCCGCGGUAAUACGGAGGAUGCGAGCGUUAUCCGGAUUUAUUGGGUUUAAAGGGUGCGUAGGCGGGACGGUAAGUCAGCGGUAAAAAGUGCGGAGCUCAACUCCGUCGAGCCGUUGAAACUGCCGUUCUUGAGUGAGCGAGAAGUAUGCGGAAUGCGUGGUGUAGCGGUGAAAUGCAUAGAUAUCACGCAGAACUCCGAUUGCGAAGGCAGCAUACCGGCGCUCAACUGACGCUGAAGCACGAAGGCGUGGGUAUCGAACAGGAUUAGAUACC
rnacentral:rRNA from 1 species